UUUCAAUGAUCUUUCGGGACCACAGUCCGAACGAAGCCCAAGGUGCACAACAAGUGUGACAUCUUCUUGCUGCUACAUGUGGAUCGCUGGUUCCUUUACUGGACUGGUUUAUCAGCACACACGAUUACAUUGGUCACAAACUGUUGAAGCAUAUUAUUUACAUACGGUGCAAUGAGUUAUGCAGUCACUGUUAUAUUUACAGUGCUGGUUCUAAAUUGCUUGGGCUAUAUCUCAACAGAAGAGACUUCACUUAUGAGAUCAAAAUCUACAGGUACUCAUUACAAGCUGCAUACAUUGCAUUCCCUGGCCAGCCAGUACCUGAAACAUGCUUCCAAAUUCAGCACAACUGUAGACUUUACUGUCCCACUUUUCUCAUUUAAGUUUCCUCUUGGUGAUCAAAACAGUAGUACAGCUAUCAUUCAGCAAAAUUUGAUUGGGCAAUUGAUUUAUUUUUUUAUUACUGCAAUUUCAUUUAUUGCAUCAAUUUCUGUACCCUAUUUUAUUAACAAAGUGAAACAAAAUGAAGAUACACCAAAAUUACAACUAGAAAUAGAUUACUGUAAUAAAAAGUAUCAUAACCACUAUCUGUGGCAAUUAUUAUGUGAAAUCAAUGAAAAUGUGGUAAAGCACAACAGAAUUCCAACAGCAUGGCCAGAAACCUAAACACAAACAAAGUAUACUUUCAGAAUCUAACUGUGCUGAUUUUGAAUUUGUGGUGCUUUAAUGAAAAAGGAGGAUACUGAUGAUUUCUAGCAGCAUUUCUGAAAUAAUGAAAUGAACCAGUUCUUGAAUGGUAUAUCUGUGGCUUUGACAUUGUAAUUGGUGACCCAUUUUAAAAAUUGUAUAUAUUGUAUUGUAUCAGUAAAAUAAUUGCCUUAAAACAUGCAGUAAAUUUGUUUGCCACCUGUUUUCAAGUGCAUGUAUACUAAAGCCACAGAAAACAAAACCUGUAUGUAUAAAUUAAGAAAUUACCCUAUAUAUUCUCGAAUUAUUUGCUAUAGAUAUGACUGACAUGUUAGAGUGCUCUGAAUGAUGUUCUAUCAUGGGCAAAAGAAUAGGUUUUAAUUGAGAAAUUGCUGACUCUGGUGUUUUCAACUGUUUAGAAAGGGGACACUUAAAUUUUAAUGAUGUCAAUAUAGAUAAAAAUUGUGGGCAUUUCUAAGAAAACUUUGACUAUUCACAGCCAGUAAGUUUUCUUUUAUGAAGUUAAAACAUUCCAGGAAUGCAAGAAGAAAAUUUCUCAAUGCGGCACAGACAUGGCUCUGAUAUCAAUUAAAAUUUCUUUAUGUUAUUUUGUUACAUGUUGCUCAAUAUUUUAAAUCUGUGGUAAAGAUUUUUACUAAAGUGCCUUUAAGUAGUCGAGUUAUGUGUGAUUAAAGAUGUAUACUGUUAUGUUUUUAAAAAAAUUUCAUUUUUGGAAAGUGUAUCAAAAAAGGAAAUUCAUCCAGAAUUGGUGAAAAUUUAGGAGGCUGGUUCUUAAUUUUCAACAGUCCUUCUCCUGAGGAUGGUCCACAACCACAGAAAGAAAAAUGCCCAAUAUGGUACUGAAAAAUUAUCAAUUACAGAUACAUGAAAUAGUUCAUGUCAUAGACAUUACAGAAUAGAUAUUACAGAAGGAAGAAUGUGGCAGGUUUUACUUGAUAAAUUAUCUACAUUACAUAAGAUAUGGGCUGCAUUUGUAGAAUGCUGACAAAGAGAAAUUGGGAAAGUGAAUUUUUUAGUGACUGGGUUCGUCCCCUAAUUUGUUAUCAUGGAUGGAUAUAGAUCCUGCUCUACUUCAUGUGAAAAGUGAAGUAGUAUCAAUUGCAACAUGCUGGCCCCAAACUAAAAACACGAAAAUGAAAAUUAUGCAGCAAACAUUUACAGACAUAGUUUUCUAGAUUACAAAAAAGAUUCCUCUCAUUGAGCGCCCAAAAAAUUAUAAAACAAACACUGGCAAACAAUAUAAAAGUAUUCUGAACCAACAGAAACUAAAUAAGUAAAUAUGUAAGAAGAGUCCUAUACUGAAAUAGAAGGAAAAAAUGUUUAAUGAAAGUCAUUUUUGUAUAUCACCAUGAGAUUCUAGUAAGCAAAUUUUUAUUAACUUUCAGUUUCUAUCUGUUUGAUCAUCAUCUCGUAAAAUAAAAGUAUAAAACAUGAAACAAAUCUGAAAAUCUCACAAAUGGUCUCAUAAAAUAAACAAAACAAGAUUUACAAACAAAAUACCUACUCUGGCCUGCAAAGUAAUCACCAUCAGCUACAACACACUUCUGGCAUUGGUUGUAAAGCUGUUUGAAACUGUCAACAAGUGGCAUCUUGCAGAAUUGCUCAAAGCAUCAUGGUCACAUGCUGUUAGACUGUUCACUAACACUUUCUUUAUCCUCUAUAUUUGAUGCCAGUAGACUUCUGUUUGCUUCUCUACCUUAAACUAGCCCUGAAACGCUUAUGCUCUUGUGCAAUGUCUCUAAAGCAUAAACCUUUCAGGGCUAAUUUUAGUUGGGAAAACAAAAAGAAGUCUGCUGGUGCCAAAUCUGGAGAAUAAGGAGAGUGCUGAAAAAUAGUUACCUUCCAUGGGUGACAUAGGUAAGCAUGCAGAUAGCUAACAAUUGGUAACAAAAAAUGAAAUGAGCGUGUGACAUUGAUGGCUGGGAGGCCCCAUUUGGGAAAGUUCAACAGUCGGGUGCAAUUUGAGGUGACACCACACUGAGUGCCUUGCGCAUUGGUGAUGAUGAAGACACCACAAUACCCAGUCCACAAGCAGAGAAAAUCUCCAAUCUGGCCAGGAAUCAAACCUGAGCCCACUGCAUGAUAGGCAUGCCAUUACCACGCAGCUAAGUGGGCAGACACAUUUGGUAACAGUUUCCAACGAUAUCAAAAUUGAUGUCAGAAGUGUGUUGUAGCUAAUGGUGAUUACUUUGAAGGUCAGUAAAGGUAUUUUGUUUGAAACUCUUGUUUCCUUUAUUUUCUGAGAUCAUUAAUUGUACACUUUGGACAUUCCUUGCAUAUUUUUAAAAAAUUAUGUUUCAGUAGAGCAUUAUUCCUGUCCACAGAGGUGUUUUGGCAAUGGGAAGCUUGAGGAAAUUGUAGUAUAGGUUGUUGGAAGAGCCAGAUCAGAUGGUAUCCCACUUUCACUUAUAUCUGCAUCCAUAGAAAUAGAGGGCUAGAGCUUGUUUUCAUUCUAAUGAAAAGGCUCUGGCAGCUUGAAAUUUAUAUGUUGCCAACUUUUCAGAAUUUUAUAUAUCCUUUGUAUGUAACACCAACAAUAGCGUGAAGAGAACUUGAACAGAUUUUGAUGAUAAUGUUAAUCACUAAAAGAAAAACAUUAAACUAUAAUUUGACUUUCACUCAGCUUAUAGCUUUAGUUUUCCUACAAAAGUGAAAAUCAUAGCAGCAGAAUCUGUCAUUCACAUAUACAUUAAAUUCAUUGGCAAACAUUUUUCUGUAGUUGAGUUCAUGUUAAG